rnacentral:rRNA from 1 species
UACGAAGGGGGCUAGCGUUGUCCGGAAUCACUGGGCGUAAAGGGCGCGUAGGCGGCGCGGGUAGUCAUCGGUGAAAGUUCAGGGCUCAACUCUGAAUCGGCCGGUGAUACUCCCGUGCUCGAGCACUGUAGAGGCAGGUGGAAUUCCGGGUGUAGCGGUGGAAUGCGUAGAGAUCCGGAAGAACACCGGUGGCGAAGGCGGCCUGCUGGGCAGUAGCUGACGCUGAUGCGCGACAGCGUGGGGAGCAAACAGG